CGGAGAAUUAGGGUUCGAUUCCGGAGAGGGAGCCUGAGAAACGGCUACCACAUCUACGGAAGGCAGCAGGCGCGCAAAUUGCCCAAUCCUGAUACGGGGAGGCAGUGACAAGAAAUAACAACUCUAGGAUUUCUUAGAAGUGUAAUGAGGAUAAUUUACAAACCUUACCGAAUGCAAUUGGAGGGCAAGUCUGGUGCCAGCAGCCGCGGUAAUUCCAGCUCCAAUAGCGUAUAUUAAAGUUGUUGCAGUUAAAAAGCUCGUAGUUGAAGUUCUGAUUGCUCAGGUUUCCAGCCUUAGGCGGAGAUACUGACAGUCAUCCGCUUGCAAACAUAUGUUCGAUCUUCACCGGUUGGCUAUGUGAGUAAGCACUUUACCUUGAGAAAAACAGAGUGUUCCAGGCAGGUUUGUCCGGGAUGCAUUAGCAUGGAAUAAUAGAACAUGACUGAAGUCGAUUUAUUGGUUUAAGGCUUUAGUAAUGAUUAAUAGGAACAGUC
rnacentral:rRNA from 1 species